GAUGAACGCUGGCGGCGUGCCUAAUACAUGCGAGUCGAGCGAACGGACGAGAAGCUUGCUUCUCUGAUGUUAGCGGCGGACGGGUGAGUAACACGUGGAUAACCUACCUAUAAGACUGGGAUAACUUCGGGAAACCGGAGCUAAUACCGGAUAAUAUUUUGAACCGCAUGGUUCAAAAGUGAAAGACGGUCUUGCUGUCACUUAUAGAUGGAUCCGCGCUGCAUUAGCUAGUUGGUAAGGUAACGGCUUACCAAGGCAACGAUGCAUAGCCGACCUGAGAGGGUGAUCGGCCACACUGGAACUGAGACACGGUCCAGACUCCUACGGGAGGCAGCAGUAGGGAAUCUUCCGCAAUGGGCGAAAGCCUGACGGAGCAACGCCGCGUGAGUGAUGAAGGUCUUCGGAUCGUAAAACUCUGUUAUUAGGGAAGAACAUAUGUGUAAGUAACUGUGCACAUCUUGACGGUACCUAACCAGAAAGCCACGGCUAACUACGUG
rnacentral:rRNA from 1 species